UACGUAGGUGGCGAGCGUUGUUCGGAUUUAUUGGGCGUAAAGGGUCCGCAGGAGGUUUGUUAAAAUUGGGGUGAAAUCCCGGAGCUCAACUCCGGAACUGCCUUGAUGACUGACGAACUAGAGUGCUGGAGAGGUAAGCGGAAUACCAGGUGUAGCGGUGGAAUGCGUAGAUAUCUGGUAGAACACCGAAAGCGAAGGCAGCUUACUGGACAGCAACUGACUCUCAGGGACGAAAGCGUGGGGAGCAAACAGGAUUAGAUACCCUGGUAGUCCACGCCGUAAACGUUGUCAACUUGAUGUGGGGGGAUUUAGUCCCCUCCGUAUCGAAGCUAACGCGAUAAGUUGACCGCCUGGGGACUACGGCCGCAAGGCUAAA
rnacentral:rRNA from 1 species